CCUACGGGAGGCAGCAGUAGGGAAUAUUGCUCAAUGGGGGAAACCCUGAAGCAGCAACGCCGCGUGGAGGAUGAAGGUUUUCGGAUUGUAAACUCCUUUUGUUAGAGAAGAUAAUGACGGUAUCUAACGAAUAAGCACCGGCUAACUCCGUGCCAGCAGCCGCGGUAAUACGGAGGGUGCAAGCGUUACGCGGAAUCACUGGGCGUAAAGAGCGCGUAGGCGGGAUAGCAAGUCAGAUGUGAAAUCCUAUGGCUUAACCAUAGGACUGCAUUUGAAACUGUUAUUCUAGAGUCUCGGAGAGGUAGGUGGAAUUCGUGGUGUAGGGGUAAAAUGCGUAGAGAUCAAGAGGAAUACUCAUUGCGAAGGCGACCUGCUAGAACAUAACUGACGCUGAUGCGUGAAAGCGUGGGGAGCAAACAGGAUUAGAUACCCGUGUAGUC
rnacentral:rRNA from 1 species